AACAGUUGUAAUAAUAUAAUUUACAAACACUAAAUUUUGUGUUUAUGAAGUGAUUUGAUAUAGUAAAUGUACAUUGUUUAAAUCAUAAAUAAAUGUGGAAGAAAUUUGCAAAAUACUACCAUAACUGUCGGCAGUAUGAGGUAGAGUAACGGUACAACGAAUGUGGUAACCUAUUUUUGCUGCAAAUUUCAAAAACGGACGGUAAAUAAUCAUUUUAUACCAGUGUACAAAUGAACAGUGUGAUCCUGUUACUGUUAAUGUUAAUGCUGAUCACUCCUACUUUCCUGAGGAUUUUCGAUUUAUGUGCCUAUGACUUAUAAGAAUGCCUUAAAAGGAACCUUACAACCACUAAUUGGACAAAAUCUUUUUGAUAGAAAGGACAAAAUUAUCCUGUUUGAUGAGCUUUUAGAGCGUGUAUCAUCAACCAAACAACGAAAACUUUGUGUGCAACAUCGUAAUUUUAGCAAAAAAAUAGAUUUGUUUUCGCAAUUUUGGAAAUAUUUUGACUGAUUCCAAAAGAUUUUUGGACGCUGAUUUCAAAAAUGCUAUCUAUUUUUGGAUAAACCCACAUACACCCCGCAAAAAUCGAAAUCUUUGGUUGGAAAAUCGAGUUUUUUUUAUAAAAAAAGGACUUUGUUUCGCGAUUUUCA